UAUCUAUGACAGUAUGACUCACCAAUCACAUUGAGUGCAGCAGUGGCUCGCCGUGUUCCUCCAUCAUGUUUGGCUACACAGGUGAUGUCACCACCACGGCCGAGCCCCAGUUUACUCGAGUCCAGCUCCAGACGGCUGCUCUGACUGAAGGUGCCAUCAGACGCCUGUCUGUGACCCGUUACACCACCCUGACCCAGAGAGCGGGACUUCCCAUCAGCCCCGGUGAACUCCCAGCCCAGAUCCAGAGUGUGAGGAGCAAAACCAGACGCCUCACACUGGAUCAGCAGCACCUGCCCAGGAACCAGCAGAGGAAGAGGAGAAGGGUAGA